AUUCUGUUGACUAGGCACACUGUACAACACCAGAGGUGUACUAAUGCUUGUUAGCUUUUGUUUUCUAGUGGUACACUUGAAAUCAACUGCUCAAAGGACAUAAAGAUUCAGGGAGUUAUUGGGCCAUGCACAUCUUUGGAGAAGAAAGGAGCUCUGUGUUCUGAUUCCGUUGUUGGUCAAGGCAACACAACUGCGUGGAAAAUGUGUGGUCUUGAUAGGACUACUUCUCUGACCGUCUUUUUUGAUAUAUCACCAAGUGAUCGCUCAAGCCAACCAGGAUAUCCAAAUCCCAAUUUGUACAUUCAGUUUGUGACAAACUAUCAGCAUCCAGAAGGUCAAAUGAGGAUGACGGUUACAACCAUUACCCAGAAAUGGGUGGAUAGUUCUGCCGGAACAGAGGUUAGUUUUGGAUAU